rnacentral:rRNA from 1 species
CAAUAGCGUAUAUUUAAGUUGUUGCAGUUAAAAAGCUCGUAGUUGGAUUUCGGGUGGGACGCAGCGGUCUCGCAUUGCGUUUGUACUGCUGCAGCCCUCCUUCUUGCCGGGGGCGGCCUCUCGGACUUCACUGUCUGGGGGUCAGAAUCGGCGAUGUUACUUUGAGUAAAUUAGAGUGUCCAAAGCAAGCUUACGCUCUGAAUAUAAUAGCAUGGGAUAACACGACAGGACUCUGGCCUAUCGUGUUGGUCUAUAGGACCAGAGUAAUGAUUAAGAGGGACAGUCGGGGGCAUUCGUAUUCCGUUGUCAGAGGUGAAAUUCUUGGAUUUACGGAAGACGAACAUCUGCGAAAGCAUUUGCCAAGGAUGUUUNCAUUG